GAUGAACGCUGGCGGCGUGCCUAAUACAUGCAAGUCGAGCGAACGGACGAGAAGCUUGCUUCUCUGAUGUUAGCGGCGGACGGGUGAGUAACACGUGGAUAACCUACCUAUAAGACUGGGAUAACUUCGGGAAACCGUAGCUAAUACCGGAUAAUAUUUUGAACCGCACGGUUCAAAAGUGAAAGACGGUCUUGCUGUCACUUAUAGAUGGAUCCGCGCUGCAUUAGCUAGUUGGUAAGGUAACGGCUUACCAAGGCAACGAUGCAUAGCCGACCUGAGAGGGUGAUCGGCCACACUGGAACUGAGACACGGUCCAGACUCCUACGGGAGGCAGCAGUAGGGAAUCUUCCGCAAUGGGCGAAAGCCUGACGGAGCAACGCCGCGUGAGUGAUGAAGGUCUUCGGAUCGUAAAACUCUGUUAUUAGGGAAGAACAUAUGUGUAAGUAACUGUGCACAUCUUGACGGUACCUAAUCAGAAAGCCACGGCUAACUACGU
rnacentral:rRNA from 1 species